UACGGGGGGGGCAAGCGUUGUUCGGAAUUACUGGGCGUAAAGGGCUCGUAGGCGGCCAACUAAGUCAGACGUGAAAUCCCCAGGCUCAACCUGGGAACUGCGUCUGAUACUGGAUGGCUUGAAUCCGGGAGAGGGAUGCAGAAUUCCAGGUGUAGCGGUGAAAUGCGCAGAUAUCAGGAGGAACACCGGUGGCGAAGGCGGUUCUCUGGGCCGAUACUGACGCUGAGGAGCGAAAGCGUGGGGAGCGAACAGG
rnacentral:rRNA from 1 species